CAGAGGGUGCAAGCGUUGUUCGGAAUUACUGGGCGUAAAGGGCGCGUAGGCGGCCGCCUAAGUCAGACGUGAAAUCCCUCGGCUCAACCGGGGAACUGCGUCUGAUACUGGGUGGCUUGAAUCCGGGAGAGGGAUGCGGAAUUCCAGGUGUAGCGGUGAAAUGCGUAGAUAUCUGGAGGAACACCGGUGGCGAAGGCGGCAUCCUGGACCGGCAUUGACGCUGAGGCGCGAAAGCCAGGGGAGCAAACGGGAUUAGAUACCCCGGUAGUCCUGGCCCUAAACGAUGAGUGCUUGGUGUGGCGGGUAUCGAUCCCUGCCGUGCCGAAGCUAACGCAUUAAGCACUCCGCCUGGGGAGUACGGUCGCAAGGCUG
rnacentral:rRNA from 1 species